CAAUUUCAGAAGCUAUCAAAGCCCUUCAGCGAGGAGCGAGACAGAAUGAAGACACCAGGAUGUUUUAAUAGACGAACCCCUGGAGUAUCAUGUACCAGCAUUACUCACUUUGGUUUCCUUCAUUGAACGCAACGGUGGGGAGGACACGCAACAACUUUUCUGUCCAACGGUCGUGGGGGCAUGCUGGAGCCUAUCCCAGCUGACGUUGUGCGAGAGGCGGGUACACCCUGGACUGGUCGCCAUCCAAUCGUAGCGAGUCAGACUGUUAUAUUGUUAUACUGUUACAUAUACUGACCUCCAGCGAUUUCCAUUGGGUUGACAAGCUUGUUGUGAGUGCACUGGUAGCCUCUGAUUGGCUCCUGCUAAAGAAAAAGCUACCGUUUAGUAGUAGUACAUGGAAAGCUUUAGGCUAAUUAUGAAAUUCAUCACAAGCCAAUUGUCAAGUAACAUUGUAUGUACAGUAUAUGAUGUGUUAACACAACUUGUUGUAACUUACCUUCGAAGAAUAUCAGUGUGAUGAGCCUUCAGGUUGCAGCCACGUUUACUGCCGUCUCUCUGCACAAUGCAUUCAAUUUUUCUUUUGGAUGGAUUAUAUUUAAGGCAUAUCCACAAAUCACUGUGUUGUUUCCUACUAAAAGUGUUGUCGUUGCCCACGUCACAGGCCACCAGCGUGUUGAGCAGGAAGUGCGUUGCAUGCUAAGCUAGGAUGCAUUGCUACAUUUUAGUUUUUGACUGAAAGAUUACAUACACAAUAGGAAGAAAUGUCAUGCAUUUGAAAGGUCUGAUAGACCACCCACUAACAUUUUCGUCCAGUCUCGUCUCAUCAACGAAAACUUACUCACGACUCGUCAUGUUUUAGUCACUAAUGAGCCAUGUUUAGCUGUCACCGUCUUGUUUUUGUCAUUAAAAAAAAAACUUAGUCAACAAAAUAAUUUCGUUAUCGUCAUCGUUGACGAAAACAACACUGCAGGACCUUUGGUAUUGACUUACAUCACAGUCUACAGAAGUCUACUGUAACUCGAGGACCGCUUUUACUGUAAAUAAAGCGUUUGCUUGUUUCAAUCCGAGUGGCCGAUACACCCGGCGAUUAAUUGAGACCUGGUGCCUGUUAGAGUGGAGGGCAGUAUUUGAGAAAAUACAGUAUUUGGCCUUGCAGUGAGCUGCAUUCAGGCUUUGAUAAAAAAAAAAAACAAAAGACACAAUAAAAAAAAUGUUUUUGUUUUUGAAACUUUAACUUUAAA